rnacentral:rRNA from 1 species
UGGGUCCAUCAUCUGGAUCGGGGACCGUGCAUGGUAGGCAGUUUGACUGGGGCGGUCUCCUCCCAAAGUGUAACGGAGGAGUUCGAAGGUUACCUAGGUACGGUCGGACAUCGUACUGAUAGUGCAAUGGCAAAAGGUAGCUUGACUGCGAGACCGACAAGUCGAGCAGGUGCGAAAGCAGGACAUAGUGAUCCGGUGGUUCUGAAUGGAAGGGCCAUCGCUCAACGGAUAAAAGGUACUCCGGGGAUAACAGGCUGAUUCCGCCCAAGAGUUCAUAUCGACGGCGGAGUUUGGCACCUCGAUGUCGGCUCAUCACAUCCUGGGGCUGUAGCCGGUCCCAAGGGUAUGGCUGUUCGCCAUUUAAAGUGGUACGUGAGCUGGGUUUAAAACGUCGUGAGACAGUUUGGUCCCUAUCUGCAGUGGGCGUUGGAAGUUUGAGGGGGGCUGCUCCUAGUACGAGAGGACCGGAGUGGACGCAUCUCUGGUGUACCGGUUGUGACGCCAGUCGCAUCGCCGGGUAGCUAUAUGCGGAAGAGAUAAACGCUGAAAGCAUCUAAGCGUGAAACUCGCCUCAAGAUGAGACUUCCCUGGAGACUUGAUCUCCCUGAAGGGCCGUGGAAGACCACCACGUUGAUAGGUCGGGUGUGGAAGCGCAGUAAUGCGUUAAGCUAACCGAUACUAAUUACCCGUGAGGCUUGAUCCU